CUGAAGUGAAGUAAGAAGACCCGCUGAAUUUAAGCAUAUAAUUAAGCGGAGGAAAAGAAACUAACAAGGAUUCCCUCAGUAAGGGCGACUGAAGCGGGAAAAGCUCAGACUGAAAAUCUUCGGAAUUGUAGUCUGGAGAGGCAUCACUAGUUGACAGUACGGGUUAAGUCUCCUGGAACGGAGCGCCAUGGAGGGUGACAGCCCCGUUCAUGCCUGAUCUGGAUGCAUACAGUGUGCCUUCUACGAGUCGAGUUGUUUGGGACUGCAGCUCUAAGUGGGUGGUAAAUUCCAUCUAAAGCUAAAUAUUGGUGGGAGACCGAUAGCGAACAAGUACCGUGAGGGAAAGAUGAAAAGCACUUUGAAAAGAGAGUGAAAGAGUACCUGAAAUUGCUGAAAAGGAACCGUAGGGAGGUAGUGUUGGAGGCAUU
rnacentral:rRNA from 14 species